rnacentral:rRNA from 1 species
CCGAGAAUUUUUCACAAUGGGCGCAAGCCUGAUGGAGCGACGCCGCGUGGGGGAUGAAUGGCUUCGGCCCGUAAACCCCUGUCAUUUGCGAUCAACCGUUAUUAUUUAAAAGAUGAUAACCUGAUAGUAGCGAAAGAGGAAGGGACGGCUAACUCUGUGCCAGCAGCCGCGGUAAUACAGAGGUCCCAAGCGUUGUUCGGAUUUACUGGGCGUAAAGGGUGCGUAGGUGGCGGUGUAAGUCGGAUGUGAAAUCUCCGAGCUCAACUCGGAAACUGCAUUGGAAACUACAUUGCUCGAGGGUUGGAGGGGGGACUGGAAUACUUGGUGUAGCAGUGAAAUGCGUAGAUAUCAAGUGGAACACCAGUGGCGAAGGCGAGUCCCUGGACAACUCCUGACACUGAGGCACGAAAGCUAGGG